AUCAUUGAAAAUUAGAAUUUAUUGUUCAAGGUUUUUAAAAGAAUGCUUCUCCUCUAAAAUUUACACAGGUGGAUAUGCACCAUUUUCGGCACCGAUUCACAAAAAAAGGAAUAAGAGAACGUGGAGGAAAAUGGUACAGUUUCUUUAACCAUCUGAAAGUUAAAAUACGUUGCUGAACUUUGCAUUUCGUACAUACUCCAUAAUGCACGGAGCACCCGUUACAUCGGUCGUUGUACAGCUGCGCUCUUAUCAACAUUCUAUACUUUGCUUCUCCUACAGAAGUAGGUAGGUACUUGACCAUUGUCACCACAGGAUGUUUGGUUAUUGAUAUGGCAACAGCACUUUCUAGAAUUGAAUUUCAUCUAAUUGCAACUUAUGCAUGUUAUGUACGGAGCUUGCGGUUAGAGAUGCUUAGCAUGGGAGUUUUGUUGCGAUAUUAAGAUUUUAUUCAAGGGUUAAUAUCGUUUGAGAUAUCACGGAGAGUAGUUGAUUUCUGAUUUUCAUAAUUUCGAGUUAGUAAUAAUUCAUCGCUCAAGAAAUGAAGUGGAAACGACUCUUCUCGCCCAUUCAAAAUGGGGCUCCAUCCAAUGCUGAUAAGAAACAGACUUCUGUCGGUGGAGUGAAAUCAAUUCGACAUAAACCGUGUUGCCUCAAAUGUGCCGUAGUGUGUAAAUGUAAACGGCAUAAGCGAACACUACGAGCAGUGUUACCCGAACACCUAACAAGUGGUAUUUUACCGUGACAUUAUUGCUUAAGUGGAAAUAAGUGGAACACCAGAUAAGAAUAAAACAUAUCAACUAUC